CAGAGGGUGCAAACGUUGUUCGGAAUUACUGGGCGUAAAGCGCGUGUAGGCGGCUAAGUGUGUCGGGCGUGAAAUCCCAUGGCUCAACCAUGGAAGUGCACCCGAAACUGCUUAGCUAGAGUCCUGGAGAGGAAGGUGGAAUGCUUGGUGUAGAGGUGAAAUUCGUAGAUAUCAAGCGGAACACCGGUGGCGAAGGCGGCCUUCUGGACAGUGACUGACGCUGAGACGCGGAAGCGUGGGGAGCAAACAGGAUUAGAUACCCUGGUAGUCCACGCCGUAAACGAUGAGUGCUAGGUGUCACGGGCUUUGACCCUCGUGGUGCCGAAGCUAACGCGUUAAGCACUCCGCCUGGGGAGUACGGCCGCAAGGCUA
rnacentral:rRNA from 1 species